rnacentral:rRNA from 1 species
ACAAUGUGUGACUCUUUAUGGGUUAUGCAAUUGGAAUGACUACAAUUUAAAGAGUUUAAGAAGGAUCAAUUGGAGGGCAAGUCUGGUGCCAGCAGCCGCGGUAAUUCCAGCUCCAAUAGGAUAUAUCAAAGUUGUUGCAGUUAAAAAGCUCGUAGUUGAAUUUCUGGAAGGUAGAAGUGGUUUUUUUAAGAAAGCAAUUUUUUAUUGAAAUCACCGCUUUCCAUUUUGUGGAUUUCUAUUUUGUAUGAGAUAGUUUACUCUAUUUUAUAUAAGAUACCACUCCGUCACUGAGAGCAAAUUGGAGUGCUCAAAGCAGGCUUUAUUAGCUUUGAACAUUUUAGCUUGGAAUGACAAGAUAUGACUUUUGUUUUAUUUUGUUGGUUAUGAAAUAAAAGUAAUGAUUAACAGGAACAGUUGCGGGGGUACUCGUAUUGAAAGGUCAGAGGUGAAAUUCUUGGAUUCUUUCAAGACGAACGACUGCGAAAGCAUUUACCAAGGAUGUUUUCAUUAAUCAAGAACGAAAGCUCGGGGAUCGAAGAUGAUUAGAUACCAUCGUAGUCCGACGCCAUAAACGAUGCCGACUCGGGAUUAUUUUGUUAGUUUACUAAAAAAGAACACAAAGUAGCACCGUAUGAGAAAUCAAAGUCUUUGGGUUCCGGGGGGAGUAUGGUCGCAAGGCUGAAACUUAAAGGAAUUGACGGAAGGGCACACCAGAGGUGGAGCCUGCGGUUUAAUUUGACCCAACACGGGGAAACUUACCAGGUCCAGACAUGAUGAGGAUUGACAGUUUGAAAGCACUUUCUUGAUUUCAUGGGUGGUGGUGCAUGGCCGUUCUUAGUUGGUGGAGUGAUUUGUCUGGUUGAUUCCGAUAACGAACGAGACGGGGUGAAUUUACUAGUUUGUUAUAUAAUUUACGUUAUAUAAAACUUCUUUAUUCGACAACUUGGUUUUACCAAGAGGAAGCGCCACGCAAUAACAGGUCUGUGAUGCCCUUAGAUGUUCUGGGCUACACGCGCGCUACAAUGACGAAUUCAACGAGUUUAAAAUUCAUUCCUUAUCCGGAAGGAUGUGGGUAAUCUUUUCAAUAUUCGUCGUGAUGGGGCUAGAUUUUUGCAAUUAUUAAUCUUCAACGAGGAAUCUCUAGUAUGUGCAAGUCAUCAGCUUGCGCAGAAUGCGUCCCUGCCCUUUGUACACACCGCCCGUCGCACCUACCGAUUGGACGAUCCGGCAAGAUGUUUGGAGUUGUUUUGAUUGUAGAGUAAUUUAUGAUGAAAAUGACAAAGCUCUU